rnacentral:lncRNA from 1 species
AGAGUUCCCAGUUGGAAUCCGGAGCAGAAUACACAGUACAAGAAUUAACAUCAAACUCAGAAGAUAGUGCUAUCAUGUGUGCUGAAGCAUUCAGAGAACGGCCAACAUGUCUGAAAGACAAAAGUGAGAACGCCGUUGCAGUCUCUUCAUAUAUGCUACCACCACACGAACUUUCAUCCCGUCGAAGAUGCUGUUUAUUAUUGUAAACCAGAUAACAAUAACCCGUAAUUCCUAUUAUGUAUUCCCUCCGUUCCAUAAUGUAAGAUGUUUUUCCAUACUACACUGGACAUGCCGGCGGAAUGCAGAUGCCACAUGAGGUGAGUGUAAGUUGGGGUGAUUGAUGUAGCCGUAGUACACCGGAUCCUUCAAGUACGGGCAGAUGCAGCCCUCCUGCUCCUGCGCCCGGAGGUUCGAGCAGCACAACGUCGAAGGUGCACUCCAAGGUCCUUGGAUGGCUGGAUCGCAGGGCGCAAGCAUAUACAACUUAGCAAUACAGACCAACUUUUGGGGCAAAAUGAUGUUCUUGGUUAUUUUUCUAUGGGAAAUGAUUGGGAUCACCAGGCUGAUCAUGCAUUCUUCGUCCACUGUCUCGUGGGUAUGGCACGUGUCCUGUGGGCCUCGCGUCUCCAACUUUGUGAAACAACGCUCAUGUUAUGAUAAUCUACUCUUUCUCUCUCGCAUCUCUCCUUCAUCUAGCCGAGGCGCUGGCAGCCAUGCCGCCGGCAAACACACCCGCUGCAUCGCUGCUGCCACCGGCAAGAGAGCGCUCUGCCGCCACAGUCGACGGCUUCCUCCACUGCCCACCCCUCUCUCCUCCUCCCUCUCCUCGAUCAACGACGUUGGCUCCUGUUGACCGGGUGACGACGAAGACGACCUCCGCUGUAUUUUCUUUCUGAAACAUCACAUGUCUUGCAAAAAAAAUUUCGGCAACAAGACAUGUGUUGCGAAAAAGUGAAAACUACAAAAUGAAAUUCUGCAACUUCAGUUCUGUUGCAAAAAAAAAAUCUACAGCAAGAACUCGGUUGAAAAAAAUAUCUGUAACUUGACCUAUGUUGCAGAAAAAUUCUGCAACGCAACCUGUGUUGCAAUGGCAUAGAAUGACCCUCGGCGCUCAAUCGGUCAGAUCCGAUGGCUCGCGAGGCGACGGAUCUUUUAAAAAGAUCCGCCAGCUGACGCAUAUAUAGCAGCGCCCUUUUUCUAUGCGCGGAUCAUGGGAUUCAUUUGGGAAAAGAUUAGGAGUAGAGACUAUGUAGGAUCUUUUUUUUUUUGCGAUUAAGACUGUGUAGGAUCUACUGUUCUUUAGGAUUAGAUUAGAGAUGUGAUUCGACAACGUGUGGUAAUUUCAAUUAUUGCAAUUUUGGUGAUGUAUGAAAAUAUGGAUUAAUGUGAUUGAGCGACUUAUGGUAAGAUUUGGUCUUUAGAAAUUGACGGUGAUUGUUUUUUCACAUAAAGAUUGCUAAAUAACUUGCACCCUCAUGAUGGAAAGUUCUGAUACGUUUUAAAAAAAUUCAUUGUGUGAGAAGUGAGGCAAAAAUAAACCAGUAUGAGGGAGUGGUGGGAGGUGGAACGAAGAAAAACCGGACAAAAACAAACCGUACUAGGCUAUCAAGUGCUCCAUUAGAAGUAGAGAUAGAUGGCAUCGGUGGGUAAUAUUUUGCAACUUUGGGGGCAAUUUCAAUGACGUACCGCCAGAAGCAAUAGCCCAUUUAUUAUUAGAUAUAGAUAUAGAUGUAGAUAGAUUUAUGUAGAUGGUCAAAUUUUGACUCAAAAGACCUGGAUGGAGAAACUUUGACGUUAUUAAUUACGAACAUCAAUAUAGAGUUCCCAGUUGGAAUCCGGAGCAGAAUACACAAUACAAAAAUUAACAUGAAACUCGGAAGAUAGUGCUAUCAUGUGUGCUGAAGCAUUCAGAGAACGGCCAACAUGUGUGAAAGACAAAAGUGAGAACGCGGCUGCAGUUUCUUGAUAUAUUGCUACCACCGGACCAACAUCCGUCCCGUCGAAGAUGCCGUUUAUUAUUGUAAAAAACAGAUGUACAAUAACACGUAAUUCCUAGUAUGUAGUUGGACAUGCUGGCGGAAUAAAGAGGCCACAUGAGGCGAGUGUCUUGAGCAAGUUGGGGCGAUUGAUGUAGCCGUAGUACACCGGAUCCUGCAAGUACGGGCAGAUGCAGCCCUCCUCCUCCUGCGCCCGGAGGUUCGAGCAGCACAGCGUCGAAGGUGCACUCCAAGGUACUUCUUUGAUGACUGGAUCGCAGGGCGCAAGCAUAUACAACUUAGCACUACAGAUCAACUUUUGGGGCAUCGCACCCCCUC